GUCGUAACAAGGUUUCCGUAGGUGAACCUGCGGAAGGAUCAUUACCACACCUGUGUGGGAAGCCUUAACAAAGCUUUUCGCACGUUAAAUCUCCCUAACAAGAGUGGAAGUGUUUGGUGUCUUUCUCCGAACAUGGAAGCUUCUUGUGUUCCGUGAAACUGUAAAGAAAACAUUUUUUUUCCCCUUUAUUGUGGAAAAAACUUUCUUCUUCGCAAGUACCUUUCCAACAUGUAACAGUGUUUGAAAAGUCUUCGAUGAGUUGAUGUAAACAAACCUAAACAAUCUUGAAGUGACUUGUCGCUUUGAAGUAACAUUUAAUGACAAACAAUCACUUUCAGCAACGGAUGUCUAGGCUCCCAUAACGAUGAAGAACGCAGC
rnacentral:misc_RNA from 1 species